GUGGCAGCCGCCGCGGUAAUACGUAGGAUGCGAGCGUUGUCCGGAUUUACUGGGCGUAAAGGGCGUGUAGGCGGCUUGCUAAGUCUCGUGUGAAAUCUCCCGGCUCAACUGGGAGGGGUCACGAGAAACUAACAGGCUUGAGGACGGUAGAGGAAAGCGGAAUUCCCGGAGUAGUGGUGAAAUGCAUAGAUACCGGGAGGAACACCGGUGGCGAAGGCGGCUUUCUGGGCCGUUCCUGACGCUAAGGCGCGAAAGCUUGGGGAGCGAACCGGAUUAGAUACCCGGGUAGUCCAAGCCCUAAACGAUGGAUGCUAGGUAUGGGGGGUAUCGACCCCUCCCGUGCCGUAGUUUACGCGAUAAGCAUCCCGCCUGGGGAGUACGGCCGCAAGGCUAAAACUCAAAGGAAUUGACGGGGGCCCGCACAAGCAGCGGAGCGUGUGGUUUAAUUCGAUGCUAAGCGAAGAACCUUACCAGGGCUUGAAAUAUACAUGCAAGCCAACGAAAGUCGGCCCUCCUUCGGGACAUGUAUACAGAUGUUGCAUGGUUGUCGUCAGCUCGUGCCGUGAGGUGUUGGGUUAAGUCCCGCAACGAGCGCAACCCUUGUCGUUAGUUGCUUUUUCUAGCGAGACUGCCCCUUACAAGGGGGAGGAAGGUGGGGAUGACGUCAAAUCAUCACGGCUCUUACGUCCUGGGCUACACACACGCUACAAUGGUCAAUACAGAGGGUUGCCAAGGAGCGAUCCGGAGCUAAUCCCAAAAAGUUGACCCCAGUUGGAAUUGCAGGCUGCAACUCGCCUGCAUGAACGUGGAGUUGCUAGUAACCGCAGGUCAGCAUACUGCGGUGAAUACGUUCCCGGGCCUUGCACACACCGCCCGUC
rnacentral:rRNA from 1 species